rnacentral:rRNA from 1 species
AGGCAGCAGUGGGGAAUAUUGCGCAAUGGGCGAAAGCCUGACGCAGCGACGCCGCGUGAGGGAUGAAGGUCUUCGGAUCGUAAACCUCUGUCAGAGGGGAAGAAGUGUGUCUAUUCAAAUAGGGUAGGCAUUUGACGGUACCCUCAAAGGAAGCACCGGCUAACUCCGUGCCAGCAGCCGCGGUAAUACGGAGGGUGCGAGCGUUAAUCGGAAUUACUGGGCGUAAAGCGCACGUAGGUGGUUUUGUAAGUCAGGGGUGAAAUCCCACCGCUCAACGGUGGAACAGCCUUUGAUACUGCAUCACUAGAGUAUCGGAGAGGGUGGCGGAAUUCCAGGUGUAGGAGUGAAAUCCGUAGAUAUCUGGAGGAACACCGGUGGCGAAGGCGGCCACCUGGACGAAAACUGACACUGAGGUGCGAAAGCAUGGGGAGCAAACAGGAUUAGAUACCCUGGUAGUCCAUGCGGUAAACGAUGGGUGCUAGGUGCUGGGGAGAUAAAUUUUUCAGUGCCGUAGUUAACGCGUUAAGCACCCCGCCUGGGGAGUACGGUCGCAAGGCUGAAACUCAAAGAAAUUGACGGGGGCCCGCACAAGCGGUGGAGUAUGUGGUUUAAUUCGAUGCAACGCGAAGAACCUUACCCAGGCUUGACAUCCAGGGGACCUCUAGGAAAUUAGAGGGUGCCCUUCGGGGAGCCCUGAGACAGGUGCUGCAUGGCUGUCGUCAGCUCGUGCCGUGAGGUGUUGGGUUAAGUCCCGCAACGAGCGCAACCCUUAUCUUUAGUUGCCAGCGAGUAAAGUUGGGCACUCUAGAGAGACUGCCCCGGUUAACGGGGAGGAAGGUGGGGACGACGUCAAGUCAUCAUGGCCCUUACGCCUGGGGCUACACACGUACUACAAUGGUGCGCACAAAGGGAAGCAAGACCGUGAGGUGGAGCCAAUCCCAAAAAACGCAUCUCAGUCCGGAUUGGAGUCUGCAACUCGACUCCAUGAAGUCGGAAUCGCUAGUAAUUCGAGAUCAGCAUGCUCGGGUGAAUGCGUUCCCGGGCCUUGUACACACCGCCCGUCACACCACGAAAGUUGGUUUUACCCGAAGCCGGCGAGCUAAAAAGCAAUCGAGGCAGUCGUCUACGGUAGG